rnacentral:lncRNA from 1 species
GGAUAUGUCUAUCUUCUUAAUCAACAUUACAGUUCUACUCUUCUUAACCAUAUUAUCUGACACCCUAGACAUGAACUUACUCAUUCUGUACCUACUAUGUACUACUACAUGGGGAGAAUACCUGAUCAAGGAACUCCUGUGGAUCCUCUUCUGACUUAUAUCCUGAGAAUAGGGGAGAAUUCAUUUGGGUAAAGUCCCAAAUCCUUGAUACAGUAGUAUUGGCCACGGG